GAAAGGAAUGAAUUCCUACGUCGGAAUCGGGCCCUUGUGCAUAAUAAACACCUUCUUGUCUCUCUCCUCCUGGGUAGUGUCAGACCAGACAGACAGCUCCUCCUGGGUAGUGUCAGACCAGACAGACAGCUCCUCCUGGGUAGUGUCAGACCAGACAGACAGCUCCUCCUGGGUAGUGUCAGACCAGACAGACAGCUCCUCCUGGGUAGUGUCAGACCAGACAGACAGCUCCUCUUGGGUAGUGUCAGACCAGACAGACAGCUCCCCCUGGGUAGUGUCAGACCAGACAGACAGCUCCCCCUGAGUAGUGUCAGACCAGACAGACAGCUCCCCCUGGGUAGUGUCAGACCAGACAGACAGCUCCUCUUGGGUAGUGUCAGACCAGACAGCCAGCUCGCCCUGGGUAGUGUCAGACCAGACAGACAGCUCCCCCUGGGUAGUGUCAGACCAGACAGACAGCUCCUCCUGGGGAGUGUCAAACCAGAGAGCCAGCUCACCCUGGGUAGUGUCAGACCAAACAGACAGCUCCCCCUGGGUAGAGUCAGACCAGACAGACAGCUCCUCCUGGGGAGUGUCAAACCAGACAGCCAGCUCCCCCUGGGGAGUGUCAAACCAGACAGCCAGCUCCCCCUGGGGAGUGUCAAACCAGACAGCCAGCUCCCCCUGGGGAGUGUCAAACCAGACAGCCAGCUCCCCCUGAGUAGUGUCAGACCAGACAGACAGCUCCCCCUGGGUAGUGUCAGACCAGACAGAAAGCUCCCCCUGGGGAGUCUCAAACCAGACAGACAGCUCCUUCUGGGUAGUGUCAGACCAGACAGACAGCUCCUCCUGGGGAGUGUCAAACCAGACAGCCAGCUCCCCCUGAGUAGUGUCAGACCAGACAGACAGCUCCCCCUGGGGAGUGUCAAACCAGACAGCCAGCUCCCCCUGGGUAGUGUCAGACCAGACAGAGACCACACUUUGGCAGAAGCUGCCAAGAGGCUUCUAAACAGCUUCUACCCCGAAGCCAUAAGACUCCUGAACAUCUAA
rnacentral:lncRNA from 1 species